UACAGAGGUCUCAAGCGUUAUUCGGAAUUAUUGGGCGUAAAGGGCGCGUAGGCGGCUUUGCGUGUCUUUCGUGAAAUCCCUCGGCUCAACUGAGGACGUGCGGAAGAAACUGCAGGGCUGGAGUCCGGGAGAGGAGGGUGGAAUUCCCAGUGUAGCGGUGAAAUGUGUAGAUAUUGGGAGGAACACCGGUGGCGAAGGCGGCCCUCUGGACCGGUACUGACGCUGAUGCGCGAAAGCGUGGGGAGCAAACGGG
rnacentral:rRNA from 1 species